rnacentral:rRNA from 1 species
CAUGCAGGCGGUCGGACGCGUUUUGUGUGACAGCGGGUGGCUUACCUACCCGAGGAUACGAAAGACGGUUGGACUUGAGGGCUCGAGAGGGACACGGAAUUCCGGGUGGAGUGGUGAAAUGCGUAGAGAUCCGGAGGAACACCGAAGGCGAAGGCAGUGUCCUGGCGAGUGACUGACGCUGAGGUGCGAAAGCCAGGGGAGCGAACGGGAUUAGAUACCCCGGUAGUCCUGGCCGUAAACGAUGACCACCAGGUGUGGGAGGUAUCGACCCCUUCUGUGCCGGAGGAAACCCACUAAGUGGUCCGCCUGGGGAGUACGGUCGCAAGAUUAAA